AAUUGUUUAAAAAAGAGGAAGAUGAAUUUCUUUUAAAAAAAGAGGAGGAUAAGAAAUUGUUUAAAAAAAUGUAAAGAGUCAAUUGUUUAAAAAAAUGUUAAAUAAAGAAUUGUUUCAAAAUAAAUGCAAAAGAUGAAAGAUUUUAUGGAUGCUAAGCAAGCAUUUGUGCACUUGUUAUGUUUGAGAGGGCAUGGAAGAAGGUGACAAGAGCUUGCCUAGACUUGCCUGCCAUAUGGAAGGAAUUAGGAAAGUCCAGAACAGUGUUAACGACGAAGGAGUGGGACUGUUAUAGGAUGGACAUGCUUUGAAAGUGAUUUGCCCUGACACUUCAGCGGCAACACUAAAUGCCUUCAUGGUUUUGUCACUGCAGUGAUGAAAAAGCAGCUCCCAAGCGAAGACCAAUCCUUUGUUUGUGCAUGGCAAAGUGGGAAGUGUCCAUUCCUGAAAUUCAGAACACCAUUGACAUUUGGACGUAAAUGGCCAAUCUCAUCGCAGACAGUCAGCUUUCCAAGUUUGAUUGAUGAUUGGUGUAUUGAGUGUUUGACAAUGGUGACUGGGCCAAGGAUGCCAGGCGUGUGCAUAAUGUUUUUCAACACAACUGCGGUAGCUGAGGCAUGAACCAGUCUGAACCACAAGUUUGAUUUGAUGUAUGCCAAGCUAGCAUUUGUGCGCUGGUACGUUGGAGGGAGAGGGGUGGCCUGUUAAGAGGUUGCUGUCCUGCCCUCUCCUGAUUAUUUUGUGGGCAGGCCAAGUGCAUGGAAGUGUUCAGAAGGCAUACCAUGAUGAGGUGUCUGUUGCGGAGAUGACACAUGGUUGCUGAAUGCCGUACUUGGUCUUGCAUGAGCUGUUACUCAAAUUAGCUUCAGGCGGCAAAGCCUGUCCAUUGUUCACCCAGACAUGGAUUCAAACACAAACUAGACCCCUGUAUCAAUUUGAAACUGACAACCUAAGCAGGGUUGGUCAAAGCUGUGACAGAGGAUCCAAUUCGGAUUUUAAUCUGGGAAGAAUUUUUUUGUUUUUGGAGAGAAGCUGUAAUUUUUUUUCUGGCUUCAAAUAAUUGACAAAGUUGCAGAGAGCAGGACGUGUUGGAGAGCCGAACUCACAAAUUUUUUAUCCUCAGACAGCAGCCCAGACAGCCUAAAUGUUCAUAGAAGUUCUGACAACUGAUUGAUUAGCACAGGAGGCUUCGUCAUUUCAACUCGGCAUACACAGAUUAUGAUGUGUAAAUAUGUUCGAGUAUUCACCAAGUUUCGAUGCUGGUCAAGAGAAAACAAACACUUCAGUGAAUGCUGUACUUCAGAGUCUGGUGUAGUGAAGUGAGAUAGUCAUCCAAGAGUUGAGUCCUGGCUGCUUCAAUCCAAUCUGAGAAGAGAGUGGUGCAUGCAUCAUGUUGACCAGCUUUAGGCCACAUGCUUGACCCGUAUUUGUUGCUCUAUUGUGAGUAAGAAUAUAUCCUCUGGGAGAGCGGCGGACAAGAGUUUAAAGUGUCCUUGCCAAAACUUCACUUUUGUGCACUGGAUGACCAAGUUCUAUGUUAUGUUGAUCUUCUGAACCAAUAGCAUGUGAGCUUGCGCUAAAAUGUGUUCGGCAAGAGUUGCCUUCAAUACUGGCUCUUGUUUAUGAUGAACUAUGGUUUAUUAACUAGGUUUCUAAUUCCUAGAGCAAUUGCUAACAAAUAGAUCUUCUAAUUCUCAAAGGUAACUUGCCCAGUAUUUCCUUUGGAUCAGUCUUUACUUGAAUACCAAGUCAGUUUUUGUUGUUUAGUCAUUGUGAGGCGGUAGGAGCAGAUUUGGUUGGGUGGGGGCAAAAUGAGCAGAAUUAGCAAGUGCAUCAUAUUCCAACAGAGUCUCAAAUUUAUAGUUUAUGUUGAGGGUUUGUCACAUUUUUUUUCUUGAUCUGCUGAUGUUGAGCAGAACGGCAGAUUCAUUUUGAGACACUUUUCCACUCAACCUGAGCAUUACAGAAUGCGAAGAAUUCACUCAGUCCAUUUUCCUUUCCCUCAUCCGAAACCCUCAGGAACAGACCAAUUACACAAAUUCUUGUUUCUUAGUGCCCAUUUCAACAGUGUUCAAGCCUUUUUUAAAUUUCUGUCAAAGAGAAAGCACCUUGUUGUAACAGUCUUUAAAUUUAACAAUACACAGAGUUUUGUUGACUUUGCUUUUCAUAAACUUAAUAAUAGUAUCCAUGUGAAAGGGCGCCAUUUCUCAUGGAUACUCUGUACAAUUUUUUUGGAAGAACAUUAAGCUGUGUUGGGGAUGAAAGAAUGUAUGUGCUAGUCUGGUUGCAUGUAUGUAUGAUAACAUGUUUAAGAGAGAUUGUGGUGGUGGUUGUCACACAGCUUGGGGCCCCCUGUGUUUGGUAGGUGGGAUUUAAGAGUAUUUUGUGUGCUUCAAUGUUCUUCCCAAAAUUUGUUUGUUAAUAGCGAGUCACAGUAGGAGUUAAGCAGGCGCGGAUUUGGGGGAGGGUUUAUAUGGGUAAUCACCCCUUGCUUAUGCUUCGGUACCAGAAAGGCCCGCAAUCGCCUGGAAGGCAGGCAACGGCCGCACCACUUUGCCCUUGUAAGCAGGCGACAAGUGCUGCUUCACCCCCUCCUAAGGAAAUCCUGGAUCCGCGCCUGGAGUUAGGCACAAUUGCCAAUUUGGGCCAUCCAUUUUGCAAUGAUGGUAUUUUCACUUUCAUUGGAAGUAAAAUUCAGGAGAGUAUUUGAGUGAAGGCACUGGUGACGAGUCAUAGAAUCUCUUAACAUGUGGCAAGUAAAUGUGCCAUACGCUCACUUUAUUUGUGCGUUAGAACCUGUGUUACUAAGAGUAAUAUUUUUAAGCUGAUGCUUUCUGAAGGCUCUUUUGUAUAGCAAAGCCAAUUAUCCACUUCAUAAUUCUACCGUCUCCGAUAUGCAUAUUGACAAAAUUGUUCAUGGGCUGAACACCACCUUGUCUUUCUAGCUCUGUUGAUCUCUUUCUACCAAUGUCACUCACUCUCAAGACGCUGAAAGUGACAGCAUCAUAGAACCUCAUGAUUCAUUCACAUUUGCCCCUUCUGCCUAUGUCUGGAUUCCUUUUGAUGAGGGAGAAUAAUUCAUAGUCAUUUUCUUACUUUUUGGCGCCAAUGGGACAGGAAAAAGCCUCUCCAUGAACAACGAAUUUAGACUCUGUUAAUGAUGUGUUCCUUUCUUUUUCCUUUUUCUGCACUUUGUUACAUCACGUGCUGAACAUGGCUGCAUCUCAGCAGGCCCAGAUGCACAGUUUCCUCGAACUUCAAUUUGUCUGAGAAUUUCAAGAGUAAAUUCUGAUCUGGGGGAUGUUGAUAGGCAAGCAUUCAGAACAAAGUAAUGUUUUAAAAGCUGAUUAGAUGAGCCUUUGUUGAAGCCUCUUGCAUUCACUUUGAUGGUAGUGGUGACUUCCCGUAGUUCUUCAAAGGAAGUUCCAUUUUAUUUUGAAAUGUUUUAUGCCGGAGUUGGACUUACAUUGAUUUAUUGGUGUAUGAUUAGCCUGCACUCUCACAAUGUUAGUUCUUUGCCAAUUGUGAUGAUGCUCUUUCAGUGAAAUUUUUCAACUCCAUUUUGUUAUUUUGUUGAUUGCGUUUAUAAAUGGCUAAGUUGAGGAGAAAUGGAAAUGUUAACUAUGAUAGUUUUUGAAAAUCAGCUUUUGGUUUGCCAUUUUUGAAUUUGUUUAAAAUGAAUUUAGAUGUAGAUGAAUUACAAGUUUUCCUUAUAUAUCAAAAGUUACUUGAUGAGGAGUUCUAUUCUAUGAGGAAAUAUGUUUAUGACAAAGGAGGGAGUAAAUUUUUAAAUGCUAAUUAGAUGAGCCUUUAUGCCUCUCUUCCAUUGACUUUGAUAGUUGUUUUUUCUUUUAACACCUUUGAAAGGUACUUUUUUUUUUAUUUUCAAAUGUUACGUGCGCAUAGCCAGAAAGGAAUGUUUUGGUGUAUGUUAAGCCUGUACUUUCAAUGUUAGUUCUUUGUUUCAUGAUGCUGUGUUUUAUUCGUGGUAUCUUUUAACUUUUUAUGUUACUUUGUCGAUUGUGUUCCAUAAUGGCUAAAUUAAGGAGAAAUGGAAAUGUUAUAUUGAAGAUGGGUUUUUGUUUGUUUUAUUUCAAAUUGCUAAUAAAAACAAAUUAAAUAAAAUUUGAGACAUAGACGACUCUAAAGUUUUCUGUAUCUCUAAAGUUACUUGUUGACGAGUAUUAUUGAAGUGAGGAAUAUGUUGGUCACAAAAAAGAAAGGUGAAUCUAAAUAUAUAUUUACUGUUGUUCUGUUCCCUUUAUUAUCUAUUUCCACCAUUUUCUUCCACUCUUUUCAAUUUGCAACUACUCCGUCAGUGACAAAGGAUUUAUCUGACGAGUCACUUUCUGCAAGGGCUCCGCCUGUUUGCCAUUUGUGACCGCACUUGUCUCAUGUCCAAUCCAGGGCUUAACCCACACGAAUGUUUUGUGAAUAAAAUAAAGUUGGAGACACUAAACCGAACCUUCGCAAUGGUCAACUGGGACACAUUAUUUAGUGUAAACGAAUUCUCAUAUGGAAGACAGUUCCAGAUUCUCUUCUAGUCCAAACAAGCUAAGUAACCGCAAAUUGAAACGAAGUUGACAUUAACAAAACUAUGCACGUAAUCAUGCUUCCCUGCUGCUGGCCUCGAAGGACUAGGGCCGUAUUAGGCGGGGACCAAUCACAGCGCGUCUUGGGAUUUCCCCGUUCCCGUCCGCCGGGAGGGUUGCGCGUGGCGUGGCCCAUCUAGAGAACCGAACGGAAACAGGCUGGCGACAGAUGAGGCUCUACUGACGAAAGUUUCUUCGGCUAAAGUUACUCAAAAAUCUAAGAUUAGAAUCUUCACAGAAGUAAUGUAGGUCUUUUGUCUUUCCCUGCAAGGAAAAGAGUAAUUACAGUGCCGUAGCAAAAAUAUAUCACUUCCAUUGCAAAGUCGAAGUGAAAUCCAGGUCCUCACUCGAGGCGGCCGUUGCCUCCGCGCCCUGAGCCACCGAGUGACAGUGAAGUCAUGUGCCCAUCUUUUGGCUGAUGGUACCGGAAUGUUCUGCUCUAGGCUUGGGAAGUUAACUGAGAUAACGUAAUUUCACUGGGGAGUCGCCAGGCCUCUUUACAGGCUCGAUCGUCCGACCGGUCUGCGACCGACCAACCCAUUGUGGGGUCACCUUUAGUUCCUCUCAUCGGACCAACUGCGACGAUAAUUCCAGGAUAUUUCAGAGACAUGCAUUUCUGAUGCAGUUGCCGGGUUUCAAGGUUUCACGCAUAGCUUCUCUCAUGUCAGCACAUUUUCUUGUCGCGUCGGAAAACGGGGAUUCGAACUGAGCGCCAGAAAAGGGAGUACAGCUCUCUGACCUUUCUUAAUUUAAGGCCGCCCCCGAACGU